rnacentral:misc_RNA from 1 species
UUUCCGUAGGUGAACCUGCGGAAGGAUCAUUAUUGUAUAAAUGAGGUGCGAGGUCUGUGGCUGAUCAGACUGGUCGUGCACGUACGAGUGGUGUAACAUUUAUCUAUUUAAUAAUUGUGUGCAACAUCGAGUGGGUAACAGUUUGGAUUGUUAGGUGGGGGGGUUACGUUUUUAUACAAACUUUGUUUGAAGUGUUGAAUGUAUUUUUUGUUUUUGUGUUCACUCAAUCAUUACAACUUUAAACAACGGAUCGGUUGGCUCUCGCAUUGAAGACGAAUG